UGCAAGUCGAACGAUGAACCUCCUUCGGGAGGGGAUUAGUGGCGAACGGGUGAGUAACACGUGGGCAAUCUGCCCUGCACUCUGGGACAAGCCCUGGAAACGGGGUCUAAUACCGGAUAUGACUCGGGAGGGCAUCCUUCCGGGUGGAAAGCUCCGGCGGUGCAGGAUGAGCCCGCGGCCUAUCAGCUUGUUGGUGGGGUGAUGGCCUACCAAGGCGACGACGGGUAGCCGGCCUGAGAGGGCGACCGGCCACACUGGGACUGAGACACGGCCCAGACUCCUACGGGAGGCAGCAGUGGGGAAUAUUGCACAAUGGGCGAAAGCCUGAUGCAGCGACGCCGCGUGAGGGAUGACGGCCUUCGGGUUGUAAACCUCUUUCAGCAGGGAAGAAGCGCAAGUGACGGUACCUGCAGAAGAAGCGCCGGCUAACUACGUGCCAGCAGCCGCGGUAAUACGUAGGGCGCAAGCGUUGUCCGGAAUUAUUGGGCGUAAAGAGCUCGUAGGCGGCUUGUCGCGUCGGAUGUGAAAGCUCGGGGCUUAACCCCGGGUCUGCAUUCGAUACGGGCAGGCUAGAGUGUGGUAGGGGAGAUCGGAAUUCCUGGUGUAGCGGUGAAAUGCGCAGAUAUCAGGAGGAACACCGGUGGCGAAGGCGGAUCUCUGGGCCAUUACUGACGCUGAGGAGCGAAAGCGUGGGGAGCGAACAGGAUUAGAUACCCUGGUAGUCCACGCCGUAAACGUUGGGACUAGGUGUUGGCGA
rnacentral:rRNA from 1 species